UUUUCUAAUUGUAGUAACGCUGAAUUAUAGAAGCGUGACUGAGAACUGGGUUUGUUCACAGCAGAUCGUGAAGCAAGGCCGGGAACACAUGACAAAUAAUACUUCAAUUAACGGCCAAAUAUUCCUGAAUUUUCUGCCCUUCAAAGGAGGCUACAACAUGCAGUCUAUAUGUGGAAAGUGGGAAGUUUGUUAGCCAGCAGGGUCUGGGCAUGCAAAUAUUUACAUAUGCUUACAUACAGAUUUAAUUUCUGGGGAGGAUUCAGACAGCAGGAGUAUUUUGGUGCUGCGACAUUAGUGGGACUCUGAAAGAGCGCAGGUGCUCUGUAGGGAGCCAAGCACUUUCAGAUUUGCAGGGAGACAAGAUCUGAAUUAUAGCUUUUAUGGUCCUAGAGGUAUCAGCGGGAUGAGAGUUUUGAUUCUGGUGUGAUUUAUCUUGGUUCCACGGCUGGAAACACAGCUGUGCUUGCCUUCAUCUCUGCUACACCGAGCUCUGCUUUUCUGCUGUGCAGUUGUGUCUGUAGGGCAGAUUCUUCCCCUUUUCUUCUUCUUUCCUUUAUUUCUGUAGUGUUUUUAGGUGUAUUUGACAUCUUUGAUAGGGGAAAAAAUACUUUUGAGUAUUAGGAGGAGUGCCUGGGAAUAUAUAGAUAUGUGGUUAAUGUAGAGUCCUUGAAAUGCUGGUUCUGCGAGAGAUGGCAUUCAGCUGCUGGAGGAUGGGCAAGAGAGGUCCCAGGCGCCGGAGGGAGGGUGAAGCCCCCUUUCCAGGGCGCCUUCCCAUGAGGAGGCGGCAGAUGACCCCAUCUCUCCACUCACAGCUUGUAUUCUCUUUCUCCUUCUACUCUGGGCCCCUUCUAAAGAUGAGUUAAUGGGCAAAUCUGCUUUUUAAUUAUAAAGGGCUGUAGAAGAUUUCCUUUUCAGAGCAGGGGACCCUACAUCUCCGUCCCUAGACUGAGUGAUCUUCAUCGCUCCCUCUGCAUCCCCUCUCUCCUUGCUGCAGCAGAUGCUGGGUCCUUUUCUUGGGCGGUUUCCUUCCCUCCCGCCCACUGCUGUGGGAAGGGUGCCUGCACUCAGCAUAGCCACAGGAGCCUGCUCUGGUCAGCAGGGCUUGAUCAUCUAACUCUGGCCACAACAGAUUGGUUUGCUGUCCUCCACCAUCAGAGUCCCUGAGUGAAGCUCUGAGCCCCAGGAACGUGGAGCUGAUACUGCCUGGGAAGAGGUAGUGGUGAGCAGCUACUCUCUCCCUGUCCAGGGGUAUAAACUGAGAGCAGCUCUACUGAAGUCAACACAGAUCACACAAAGACCAGAGCUGAUCUGCCAAAGACCAGAGCUGCAAACCUGAAGCCUGCUGCUGUGCAAAUAAACUAGCUAGCAUGGAGAGGCUGGCUGCUCCUGGACUCUGGGAUUUUUGUUCAACAGCAACUUGCAUCCCCUAUGUGACCAAAAGGUUGGUCUGAGGCGUGACCUGAAUGUGUCCCUGCUCUCUGGAGCAAAGCACUGCUCCAUGAGACCUGUAUGGUGGAUGGACUUUCCGAAGCAAGGACAUAUCAUCUGUUCAGUAUCCGCUUUCUGAGCCCUGAAUGGGAGGUCUAAACCUCAGCUGAUGCUGCAGCGUGCUGGAGGAGUCCUGGUGGUCUCAGAGCUUCAGGCAGCCAGAACAUCCCCUAGGGCUGUCAGGAAAUCCUGGACUAUUGUUUUUUACCACCAUACAGAAAAAGACUGUGCGUCUCUACCCCACUGUAAUGUGGCAACACGCACCUCACUGUUCUGGUACCUGCCCAUGCCAGUCCCUCUGUUCUGGGAGUUCAUAUCUAGGAGUGUCACAGCACUUUUUCCUAUGUGCUUAGCUUCAAGUCAUUGGAGGAGAAAUACAGUCAUAGCUGCAGAUAGUAAAUUAAGCUAUCACUUUUAUUGCUCAUUUCAGCCAGGUGCCUUGAAUGACUUACCUGUCAUCAUUUAGGAGAUUUCUGGUGAAACAGAGAUUUGAACAUGCAUGUCCUGAGCCGUGGACGAACAUGUAAAGCUACUGGGCAGUGUUUUGUGUCUAGAGCUUUAUUUGUGGCUCAGAGGUGAAAAGCAAAAAAUUAAAAGUCUUUGAUACCACUGUUACAUAAACUUCAGAUUUAUUUUUAGCAAUGUUUUCUAAAAAGGAAUGGCCAGAAAUAAUAAAUCUGUCGUUUUACAUAAGGUAAUGAGCCUGUUUUCUCAGAUUCUGUGUUCACACUGUGGCUCAGGCAGUUCCCUUUUAGAAAUAUUCCAAUUAAUCAUGUUUGACAAAAGGGAGUGUAAAGAUUAGUUUCCUACUACUUCUGUGAAAGUAAGUAGCUGGUUGAAGAGGAAACAUCUUUUUAAUGUCCCCAUUAAAGGAAAGACUUCAACAGGAUCUCAUUCUUAUUAGACACAAGAGAAGCUGCAUGGGGUAUCAUCUUUCUUGCAUCCUAAAUGUGAGGAAACCUGGUUUAGCCAGUGAAACUACUUGGUUCAAUCAACUAGUGGUAAGUCAUGUGUAAGAACACUACUAGGGAAAGAAGUGAGCAAGUUAAGAACAUAACAUUCCUACUACAGGUGGAAACACAAACCAAUAUUCAAUUAUAUUGGCAGGACAAUCAAAGUUUCUUUUAAAAAAGUAUUCUGUAUGUCUUGAAUAACAGAAAGACAGGAAGUCACUUCUGUCAUCCCAGUGACAACAGCCCCAACAACAUGAAAGAUUAGAUAAAAUAUGCAAGCAGAGUAAGUAUUUUUAAAAUAAGAUACUAACUUAAUAUUGAAAAGUAUUGUGCCUGUGUAAUGCAGUUAUUUUUGCUUGAGUUCCCUUUGCAUCUCUGAAAGAGACCAGUCUUACAGCCAUGGCUGUCAUUCAAGUGAUGAACUGAAUAAAGUGUGAAGAAUGUGGUACCACAGAUACAGAAAAAUACAGAUAUUCUUUGACCAUAGUCAAAUGCAAGGUGUUUUUAACUUUAGGAUGUAUACGGUAAAAUACAAGCUAUAAAUAUAUAUGACUCCAUUGCUGUUCUCAGUCAAAUGUAUUUUAAAAGACUUCUAAACUACUUUUUCUCCGUGUGUGCUUGCUUGUUUUUGGUGUCUUGUUUAAAUUUUGGAGAGGUUAGAGGAAAAGGAGUGUUCUCCAAGGAGGAUCUGCCUCUGUAAUCUGUAAUUCUUUUUUUGCUCUGGAUGUGGUGUAAUUCCCAUAAACUCUAGGAACAAAAUAUUAACUAGGGUUGAAAGUUUGCUUGGGGCAUUUGGUUCAUGUUCAUACUAGUCUGAGAGAAAUCACAUUUUGAAGAGACUUACCGAGACUCUAAUCUCUCCGCAGAGAGCUGAAUGACUGUGGCAGGCUUGACAAUGCUAUUCAUUUUUGGAGCCUCACCAGCAAAACAAGCACUCAGCACAAAAGGAUAUAUAGUGUCUAGGCUACUGUACUAUUCAUACAUCUGUAUCUAUCCAUCUAGCAAGGGACUUCACACCAUAUAAAUACAUAUCACUGGAAUAAUACCAUUUUCCAUUCUGUAUCUUGGAGAUUAGUGUUUCCCAGUGUCAGGUAGUGCUAAUUAGUGAUACAACACACACCUUUCUAUAGAUCAAAGACACAAAGUCUUGAAAGCAAAACUGUUUUAAAUGUAGGGAACAGGUUGCAUUACCUAUUACACGCUGUAUGAACAAUAGGCAGAUAUAUGUCUAGUGGUGUGUGACUAAUAUACACCAUUCUUUCUCAAAUAGUUAAGCCCUUGCUGUUCAGGCAGUGAGUACAUGUGUCCACUUUAACAGUAGGGGUUUAAUGUUUUUAUAAAUACUUAAUGAAGUAUAUAUAAUUCAAAGUACAGUUUCAUUCUACAUCUAUGUCUUCAUCUUCUUAGGUCCUUGAUCCUAUGCACACAGCUGGAAUGUUAAACAAAAAAUUAUGUCCCUACAGUUUCUUAGAAGUGAAAAUAUUUAACUAUUAUCAACAGGCAAAAAAGCAACUCCCUUCUCUCCCCCAUAAAUAAAUAUAGCAGAGAAAUGACAUCAG